rnacentral:rRNA from 1 species
GAUGAACGCUAGCGGCAGGCCUAACACAUGCAAGUCGAACGGUGGUAGCAAUACCAUAGUGGCGCACGGGUGCGUAACACGUAUGCAACCUACCUAUUAUUGGGGGAUAGCCUUUGGAAGCGGAGAUUAAUACCGCAUAAUACUAAUGACUGGCAUCGGUUGAUAGUUAAAGCUUUUGCGAUAAUAGAUGGGCAUGCGUCCAAUUAGUUAGUUGGUUAGGUAACGGCUGACCAAGACGAUGAUUGGUAGGGGAUCUGAGAGGAUAAUCCCCCACACUGGCACAGGGAUACGGGCCAGACUCCUACGGGAGGCAGCAGUAGGGAAUAUUGGGCAAUGGAGGGAACUCUGACCCAGCCAUGCCGCGUGCAGGAAGAAGGCGUGAUGCGUUGUAAACUGCUUUUUUAUAGGAAGAAGGGACUCUUGCGAGGGUAGGUGACGGUACUAUAAGAAUAAGCACCGGCUAACUCCGUGCCAGCCGCCGCCGUAAUAC